UAAAGGCGGGAUGGUCCGAUUUUAGGUUAAAACAAAAUCCGUUCAAGGGAAGUAGCGUCGGAAACUAAUAUCCUAUUUAAUAGUAUCAAUUGACUAAAUAACAAAUCAACAAUCAUUAUAAGGAUAAAAUGUAACAAAAUUUGUUGAUAUUAACAGAUUAAUCUUGUAUACAUCAAACAAUGAAGUACAAAUUACUAUUCGUAAUAGUCCUCAUGGUCCUGCUUAUUUUUCAUGUUUCAAUAGCAUCAACAAAGGCAAUGACUUUUAUGAAUAAUUGUAGACUGUGCAAUUCUCAUUAUAACAAAAUAUGUGUUCAACAGCCAUGUUCGCCUGGUGAGUCUGGACUACAGAGCUUCGGCAACAUAAUAGACACAGUGUGUAUGCAGAAAUGCAGUGACCUUUUCAGCACGUGUGAAAGAGUUUGUGGUCACUGAUUGAGAUGUCACAAAUACACGAGAAAUUCCGAAAAUGACAAUGGGAUGUAUUGUAAAAAGUGUUUUAUUAUUAAUAAAGCUUGACUUAGAAAUAGGGCAUGCUAUUGUUUUUGAUUGAACACGUGAUAACAAGGAUUUUUAGAAAGCUAUAUUUGUAUAUAUUGUGCCAUGACUUCAACAUAGAUAUAUGAUAUAAAUACUGGGUUUUUUUAAAUGUUUGUUCAUGUUUUGUAAAUAAAUUAUUUUAUUCA